UUAGGGAUUAGAGUUUGAUUCUGGGUUCAAAUUAACCGCUGGCGGCAGGCCUAACACAUGCAAGUCGAACGGUAACAUUUCUAGCUUGCUAGAAGAUGACGAGUGGCGGACGGGUGAGUAAUGCUUGGGAACUUGCCUUUGCGAGGGGGAUAACAGUUGGAAACGACUGCUAAUACCGCAUAAUGUCUUCGGACCAAACGGGGCUUCGGCUCCGGCGCAAAGAGAGGCCCAAGUGAGAUUAGCUAGUUGGUAAGGUAACGGCUUACCAAGGCGACGAUCUCUAGCUGUUCUGAGAGGAAGAUCAGCCACACUGGGACUGAGACACGGCCCAGACUCCUACGGGAGGCAGCAGUGGGGAAUAUUGCACAAUGGGGGAAACCCUGAUGCAGCCAUGCCGCGUGUGUGAAGAAGGCCUUCGGGUUGUAAAGCACUUUCAGUUGUGAGGAAAAGUUGGUAGUUAAUACCUGCCAGCCGUGACGUUAACAACAGAAGAAGCACCGGCUAACUCCGUGCCAGCAGCCGCGGUAAUACGGAGGGUGCGAGCGUUAAUCGGAAUUACUGGGCGUAAAGCGCACGCAGGCGGUUUGUUAAGCUAGAUGUGAAAGCCCCGGGCUCAACCUGGGAUGGUCAUUUAGAACUGGCAGACUAGAGUCUUGGAGAGGGGAGUGGAAUUCCAGGUGUAGCGGUGAAAUGCGUAGAUAUCUGGAGGAACAUCAGUGGCGAAGGCGACUCCCUGGCCAAAGACUGACGCUCAUGUGCGAAAGUGUGGGUAGCGAACAGGAUUAGAUACCCUGGUAGUCCACACCGUAAACGCUGUCUACUAGCUGUGUGUGAUUUUAAAUCGUGCGUAGCGAAGCUAACGCGCUAAGUAGACCGCCUGGGGAGUACGGCCGCAAGGUUAAAACUCAAAUGAAUUGACGGGGGCCCGCACAAGCGGUGGAGCAUGUGGUUUAAUUCGAUGCAACGCGAAGAACCUUACCUACACUUGACAUGCUGAGAAGUUACUAGAGAUAGUUUCGUGCCUUCGGGAACUCAGACACAGGUG
rnacentral:rRNA from 1 species